rnacentral:rRNA from 1 species
ACGAAGGGGGCUAGCGUUGUUCGGAAUUACUGGGCGUAAAGCGUGCGCAGGCGGUCUCUCAAGUCAGGGGUGAAAGCCCAGAGCUCAACUCUGGAACUGCCCUUGAAACUGUGAGGCUCGAGUACGGGAGAGGUGAGUGGAAUUCCCAGUGUAGAGGUGAAAUUCGUAGAUAUUGGGAAGAACACCGGUGGCGAAGGCGGCUCACUGGCCCGUUUCUGACGCUCAUGCACGAUAGCGUGGGGAUCAAACAGGAUUAGAUACCCUGGUAGUCCACGCCGUAAACUAUGGACGCUAGCCGUUGGGUAGCUUGCUAUUCAGUGGCGCAGCUAACGCAUUAAGCGUCCCGCCUGGGGAGUACGGCCGCAAGGUUG